UCCGGUUUGGCACCGGCAGUCUCCAAUGAGUCCCCGGCAUACCCGCUGGCAACAUUGGACAGGGGUUGCGCUCGUUGCGCCACUUAACCCAACAUCUCACGACACGAGCUGACGACAGCCGUGCAGCACCGGUGCACCACCCUCGAAGGCUACCACGUUUCCGUGGUAUGCAGGUGCAUGUCAAAUCUAGGUAAGGUUCUUCGUGUUGCGUCGAAUUAAACCACACGCUCCGCUGCUUGUGCGGGCCCCCGUCAAUUCCUUUGAGUUUUAGCCUUGCGGCCGUAGUCCCCAGGCGGUGUACUCAUCGCGUAAGCUGGGGCACCGAGAAGCGCAAUCACUUCCCAGCGCCGGGUACACAUCGUUUACGGCGUGGACUAC
rnacentral:misc_RNA from 1 species